GACGAACGCUGGCGGCGUGCCUAAUACAUGCAAGUAGAACGCUGAAGCUUGGUGCUUGCACCGAGCGGAUGAGUUGCGAACGGGUGAGUAACGCGUAGGUAACCUGCCUGGUAGCGGGGGAUAACUAUUGGAAACGAUAGCUAAUACCGCAUGAUAUUGAUUAUUGCAUGAUAGUCAAUUAAAAGGUGCAAUUGCAUCACUACCAGAUGGACCUGCGUUGUAUUAGCUAGUUGGUGAGGUAACAGCUCACCAAGGCAACGAUACAUAGCCGACCUGAGAGGGUGAUCGGCCACACUGGGACUGAGACACGGCCCAGACUCCUACGGGAGGCAGCAGUAGGGAAUCUUCGGCAAUGGACGGAAGUCUGACCGAGCAACGCCGCGUGAGUGAAGAAGGUUUUCGGAUCGUAAAGCUCUGUUGUAAGAGAAGAACGAGUGUGAGAGUGGAAAGUUCACACUGUGACGGUAUCUUACCAGAAAGGGACGGCUAACUACGUGCCAGCAGCCGCGGUAAUACGUAGGUCCCGAGCGUUGUCCGGAUUUAUUGGGCGUAAAGCGAGCGCAGGCGGUUAGAUAAGUCUGAAGUUAAGGGCUGUGGCUUAACCAUAGUACGCUUUGGAAACUGUUUAACUUGAGUGCAAGAGGGGAGAGUGGAAUUCCAUGUGUAGCGGUGAAAUGCGUAGAUAUAUGGAGGAACACCGGUGGCGAAAGCGGCUCUCUGGCUUGUAACUGACGCUGAGGCUCGAAAGCGUGGGGAGCAAACAGG
rnacentral:rRNA from 1 species